GACGAACGCUGUCGGCGGGCUUAACACAUGCAAGUCGAACGGAAAGGCCCUGCUUUUGUGGGGUGCUCGAGUGGCGAACGGGUGAUUAACACGUGAGUAACCUGCCCUUGACUUUGGGAUAACUUCAGGAAACUGGGGCUAAUACCGGAUAGGAGCUCCUGCUGCAUGGUGGGGGUUGGAAAGUUUCGGCGGUUGGGGAUGGACUCGCGGCUUAUCAGCUUGUUGGUGGGGUAAUGGCUUACCAAGGCUUUGACGGGUAGCCGGCCUGAGAGGGUGACCGGCCACAUUGGGACUGAGAUACGGCCCAGACUCCUACGGGAGGCAGCAGUGGGGAAUAUUGCACAAUGGGCGGAAGCCUGAUGCAGCAACGCCGCGUGCGGGAUGACGGCCUUCGGGUUGUAAACCGCUUUCGCCUGUGACGAAGCGUGAGUGACGGUAAUGGGUAAAGAAGCACCGGCUAACUACGUGCCAGCAGCCGCGGUGAUACGUAGGGUGCGAGCGUUGUCCGGAUUUAUUGGGCAUAAAGGGCUCGUAGGUGGUUGAUCGCGUCGGAAGUGUAAUCUUGGGGCUUAACCCUGAGCGUGCUUUCGAUACGGGUUGACUUGAGGAAGUAGGGGAGAAUGGAAUUCCUGGUGGAGCGGUGGAAUGCGCAGAUAUCAGGAGGAACACCAGUGGCGAAGGCGGUUCUCUGGGCCUUUCCUGACGCUGAGGAGCGAAAGCGUGGGGAGCGAACAGGCUUAGAUACCCUGGUAGUCCACGCUGUAAACGGUGGGUACUAGGUGUGGGGUCCAUUCCACGGGUUCCGUGCCGUAGCUAACGCUUUAAGUACCCCGCCUGGGGAGUACGGCCGCAAGGCUAAAACUCAAAGGAAUUGACGGGGCCCCGCACAAGCGGCGGAGCAUGCGGAUUAAUUCGAUGCAACGCGUAGAACCUUACCUGGGUUUGACAUGGAUCGGGAGUGCUCAGAGAUGGGUGUGCCUCUUUUGGGGUCGGUUCACAGGUGGUGCAUGGCUGUCGUCAGCUCGUGUCGUGAGAUGUUGGGUUAAGUCCCGCAACGAGCGCAACCCUUGUUCACUGUUGCCAGCACGUUAUGGUGGGGACUCAGUGGAGACCGCCGGGGUCAACUCGGAGGAAGGUGGGGAUGACGCCAAGUCAUCAUGCCCCUUAUGUCCAGGGCUUCACGCAUGCUACAAUGGCUGGUACAGAGAGUGGCGAGCCUGUGAGGGUGAGCGAAUCUCGGAAAGCCGGUCUCAGUUCGGAUUGGGGUCUGCAACUCGACCUCAUGAAGUCGGAGUCGCUAGUAAUCGCAGAUCAGCAACGCUGCGGUGAAUACGUUCCCGGGGCU
rnacentral:rRNA from 1 species